rnacentral:rRNA from 1 species
GGUCCUGCGAGAGGUGAGUGUAGGAUUUGGCCUGCCCAAUGAUUUAUUUAAUGGCCGCGGUAAUUUGACCGUGCAAAGGUAGCAUAAUCAUUAGUCCUUUAAUUGAGGUCUGGGAUGAAGGGUUGGACGAGGGAGUGGCUGUCUAUAAGUAGUUUUAUUUUGAAUUUUACUUUUUAGUGAAAAGGCUAGAAUAUUCUUGGGGGACGAUAAGACCCUAUAGAUCUUUACAUUGGGCAAUAGAUGAAAGUUUGUUUAGUGUGUUUUGUUGGGGUGACAGGGAGGUAUAAAUAACCCUCUCAAGGUUGGGUUGCUUUGUAGGCAUAUUUCGUGAUCCUUGCGUUGAGAUUAUUAGAUUAAGUUACCUUAGGGAUAACAGCGUAAUCCUUUUUGAGAGUUCUUAUUGACAAGAGGGUUUGCGACCUCGAUGUUGGAUUAAGAAAUUCUUGUGGUGCAGAAGCUACAGGAAAGGGUCUGUUCGACCUUUAAUUUCUUACA